UACGUAGGGCGCAAGCGUUGUCCGGAAUUAUUGGGCGUAAAGAGCUCGUAGGCGGCUUGUUAAGUCAGUUGUGAAAGCCCGGGGCUUAACCCCGGGUCUGCAUUCGAUACGGGCAGGCUAGAGUGUGGUAGGGGAGAUCGGAAUUCCUGGUGUAGCGGUGAAAUGCGCAGAUAUCAGGAGGAACACCAAUAGCGAAGGCAGCUCGCUGGGACGGUACUGACGCUAAGGCGCGAAAGCGUGGGGAGCGAACAGG
rnacentral:rRNA from 1 species